GCCUGCACGCCAUCAUGCUCCCUGCCAUGACGGUAAUGGACUGAACCUCUGAAACCCCUAUGAAUUCUGGACGCCCAGUUUCUUGAAAAACUCUUGGCAGAAGGAUCUUGUCUCAGGCGGCCCCCAGAGAUGAUCCUGUCCUGGUUCUGAGCUGGAGACCAAGUGAGCCAGGAGGCCGCCACAGACCCUACUUCGUGUUUAAAUCAUUCGUUCCCUCUACUGGUCUCGUAUCCACUUAGUGCAUCAUUAUUAGCAUCUACUUUUGCCAGCCUCGGGAUUGGCUCUGGUGACCAAGUCGCUUUGGUUUUCUUCAUGGUGAGUUAAUUUGCAGUAAGAGGACAGAGAGGCUGAGGUCUGGGCCACACUGAGUGUUCAGCAGCAGUGAAUGCCGUGACGGAGUCAAUGCAACCCAUCCACCCCUCCCCCCCAGGAUCUUGUUCACUAGGACCUCGGUGAUGAUGCUGGGAGGAGCUGGAAUCUUCAGGGGGCGUGGUCAAGUGGAUUGCAUUACUGACUCCUUCCCUCACUCUGGCUUCUUGUCUUAACCACGUGACUCUGCUAUGCAUGUGUUCCUACAGCUAUGAUGCUUGCUUGGCCAGGAAGGCCCUCACGGGAGGCUGAACUCACGAAGCUGCCCAAUUUUGGAUUUUCCACCUCCAAACUUGGAACUCAAUAAAGUCUCUUUAUAAAUGCCUA